UUAUUAGAUAGUAGCUGGGAAGCUGCGGUGUCUGAUACUUGAGAGAUUUGUUUAUGACAGUUUGCAGUGGGCCAUGUGAAUAUUGCAUGUACUUUCAGAAUUAUUUUGCGAGCUACUCAUAGGUGGGCUGCGAGCUACUCAUAGGUGUGCUGCGAGCUACUCAUAGGUGGGCUGCGAGCUACUCAUAGGUGGGCUGCGAGCUACUCAUAGGUGGGCUGCGAGCUACUCAUAGGUGGGCUGCGAGCUACUCAUAGGUGGGCUGCGAGCUACUCAUAGGUGGGCUGCGAGCUACUCAUAGGUGGGCUGCGAGCUACUCAUAGGUGGGCUGCGAGCUACUCAUAGGUGGGCUGCGAGCUACUCAUAGGUGGGUUGCGAGCUACUCAUAGGUGGGCUGCGAGCUACUCAUAGGUGGGCUGCGAGCUACUCAUAGGUGGGCUGCGAGCUACUCAUAGGUGGGUUGCGAGCUACUCAUAGGUGGGCUGCGAGCUACUCAUAGGUGGGCUGCGAGCUACUCAUAGGUGGGCUGCGAGCUACUCAUAGGUGGGCUGAGAGGUACUCAGAGCCAAAUGGAAUGAAUGGAAUGAAAUAUUAUUCAAAUGACAUUUUCACUGCAGUUCACAGCCUAGAGUAAAAUGUACUGAC